rnacentral:rRNA from 1 species
AACGGGUGAGGAACACGUGAGGAAUCUGCCUUUCACUUCGGGAUAACUCCGGGAAACCGGGGCUAAUACCGGAUAUUUUCAACUGGCGGCAUCGCCGGUUGAAGAAAGUUUUUCGGUGAAAGAUGACCUCGCGGCCUAUCAGCUUGUUGGUGAGGUAAUGGCUCACCAGGCAACGACGGGUAGCCGGCCUGAGAGGGCGACCGGCCACACUGGGACUGAGACACGGCCCAGACUCCUACGGGAGGCAGCAGUGGGGAAUAUUGGGCAAUGGAGGAAACUCUGACCCAGCGACGCCGCGUGAGGGAUGAAGGCCUUCGGGUUGUAAACCUCUUUCAGUAGGGAAGAAGCGAAAGUGACGGUACCUACAGAAGAAGCACCGGCUAACUAUGUGCCAGCAGCCGCGGUAAUACAUAGGGUGCAAGCGUUGUCCGGAAUUAUUGGGCGUAAAGAGCUCGUAGGUGGCUCGAUACGUCGGAUGUGAAAAUCAGGGGCUCAACCCCUGACCUGCAUUCGAUACGGUCAAACUAGAGUGUGGUAGGGGAGACUGGAAUUCCUGGUGUAGCGGUGGAAUGCGCAGAUAUCAGGAGGAACACCAAUGGCGAAGGCAGGUCUCUGGGCCAUAACUGACACUGAGGAGCGAAAGCGCGGGGAGCGAACAGGAUUAGAUACCCUGGUAGUCCGCGCCGUAAACGGUGGGCACUAGCUGUGGGUCCCUUCCACGGGAUCCGCGACGCAGCAAACGCAUUAAGUGCCCCGCCUGGGGAGUACGAUCGCAAGAUUAAAACUCAAAGGAAUUGACGGGGCCCCGCACAAGCAGCGGAGCAUGCGGCUUAAUUCGACGCAACGCGAAGAACCUUACCAAGGCUUGACAUAUAGCGAAAAGUGGCAGAGAUGUCAUGUCCGCAAGGGCGCUAUACAGGUGGUGCAUGGUUGUCGUCAGCUCGUGUCGUGAGAUGUUGGGUUAAGUCCCGCAACGAGCGCAACCCUCGUUCUGUGUUACCAGCAUUUAGUUGGGACUCACAGGAGACUGCCGGGGUCAACUCGGAGGAAGGUGGGGAUGACGUCAAAUCAUCAUGCCCCUUAUGUCUUGGGCUGCACGCAUGCUACAAUGGCCGGUACAAGUGCUGCGAAAUCGUAAGAUUGAGCGAAUCACAUAAAGCCGGUCUCAGUUCGGAUUGAGGUCUUAGAC